rnacentral:rRNA from 1 species
GACGAACGCUGGCGGCGUGCUUAACACAUGCAAGUGGAGCGACGAACCGGGCUUGCCCGGGGCAGAGCCGCGAACGGGUGAGUAACACGUGGGUUACCUGCCGUGAUGACUGGGACAACCCGUCGAAAGACGGGCUAAUACCGGAUGUGCCCGCAAGGGGAAAGGAGGCUUCGGCUUCCGCAUCGCGAUGGGCCCGCGGAGCAUUAGCUUGUUGGUGAGGUAACGGCUCACCAAGGCUUCGAUGCUUAGCUGGUCUGAGAGGACGAUCAGCCACACUGGGACUGAGACACGGCCCAGACUCCUACGGGAGGCAGCAGUGGGGAAUCUUGCGCAAUGCGCGAAAGCGUGACGCAGCAACGCCGCGUGCGGGAAGACGGCCUUCGGGUUGUAAACCGCUUUCAGUUGGGACGAAGCUUCUGCGGUUAAUACCCGUAUGGAGUGACGGUACCUUCAGAAGAAGCCCCGGCUAACUACGUGCCAGCAGCCGCCGUAAUAA